GCUGAUUCCUCCAUUUUCUUCUGCAAAAUCGAAGUUUGCCCUAUUAUUUUUCUUCUUUUUCCCACUGUUCGCAGUUUGCUAGGUCAAAGAAUUAUUCGGCGCUAUGGCUGCUAGAGCUGAAGAACCAAUCAAUGAGCAAGCAGUUGCCAAUGUCUACAGUUCCAUGAGGUCUGAGAUCACCCAGAUUUACUCUAAAAUUACUGAACUAGAAAUGGAAGUUAGUGAGCACUCACUCGUAAUCAAUGCUAUACAACCACUUGAUCCUGCAAGGCGGUGUUAUAGGAUGAUUGGAGGUGUUCUUGUUGAGAGAACCAUCAAGGAGGUCCUUCCUGCUGUUCAACGCAAUAAGGAGGGAAUUGAGGAAGUGAUAGCGCGACUGAAUGAAGCGUUGGAGAAAAAGAAAAAGGAGAUUUCAGACUUUGAGGCCAAGUAUAAAAUUAGAAUCAGAAAACCUGAUGAAGUAAAGGAGGAGGGUGCUCGAAAGGAAGGCUCUGCACAAGGAGUCCUUGUUGGUCCUGCUGGUUCAAAUGAAUAGACCUGUCUAGUUUUCAACUUCCAUUUUGAGGUACUUUGUUGAACAUGGUCAAGGAACUAAAGUACUUUAUCAUCAUCUUUAGUGUGUGAUCUAUCAUGUUCAUUUAUUUUUCGUGCCUUGGCGGUAUUUUAACCCAGGCGAUGAUCGUGACAUUUUGGAAAACCUUAAUUUUAUCUCCUCGAACAUUAGUCAAGUGUUCCUUACCUGCUGAGACUUGUG
rnacentral:misc_RNA from 1 species